rnacentral:rRNA from 1 species
UACGUAGGGACCAAGCGUUGUUCGGAUUUACUGGGCGUAAAGGGCGCGUAGGUGGCGCGGUAAGUCGGGUGUGAAAUCUCGGAGCUUAACUCCGAAAUUGCAUUCGAUACUGCCGUGCUCGAGGACUGGAGAGGAGACUGGAAUUCAUGGUGUAGCAGUGAAAUGCGUAGAGAUCAGGAGGAACACCGGUGGCGAAGGCGGCCCUCUGGACGGUGACUGACGCUGAGACGCGAAAGCGUGGGGAGCAAACAGG